rnacentral:lncRNA from 1 species
UUAUCAAGGUUUUAUGCAGGGUGUUAGUGUGGUAACCACUGAAGGAACGUGUGGGUUUUCUCAGAUAAUGUAGCCAGAACAGUUCGCAAAGAGCGCAAAGGUAUUCCAUGGACUAGUCCUCCAGAAUAAAGAAAAUGAUUGCACACAGCAUGCAUGCAGAAGAAGAAGAAGAAGAAGAAGAAGAAGAAGAAGAAGAAGAAGAAGAAGAAGAAGAAGAAGAAGAAGAAGAAGAAGAAGAAGAAGAAGAAGAAGAAGNNNNNNNNNAAAGAGGGGGGGGGGGGGACCCAGCCGCAAAAUGGAGGCAAAGAAGAAAGGGGUGGGGGACAGGAUAAUUUUCUUGGGAACCCAUUCAGUUGACUGCGUGUCUACCGAGAAUUAAAUCCAAUUUACUUUAGAGGGACACAGAAUUAAAUGCAAUUUACUUUAGAGGGACACUUUCUCAGAUAUGCAGACAAUUCCCAUGAGAGCCUGAAGAAACAGAAAGAUGUUUCAUACGUUGAUGAAGAAGGAAAUUUAAGGAGGGAAGACUGGUGCCUUGUGAUGAACGGACAAGCUCUUGAAACUCUUGUAGAUAGGAGUGGGGAACUUUCAGCCCUCCAGAUCUCUUCUCCUACUGUCCCACCCAGCACUGCUAUGGGUAAGAGGUGCAGGGAUUUGAGCCCAACACAUCUGGAGUGGCAAAUGCUCACUAACUGCUGUAGAUUUUUCUAAAGACCUUCAGAGUUGUUGACGCUGAGAGGUGCUUCUACCUUUGUACAUUUGUAUUGCAAGUCCAAAAAUUAACCACGUGUUAAAUGAAGAAAAGAAAAUCCACUUUUCCACCCUCUGAAAGGAAGAGUGCUCGUGGAUUUAUGACAAUAAAAUCCUCUGCAAGUUAGCUCGGAAGUAUAUU